rnacentral:rRNA from 1 species
GAUGAACGCUGGCGGCGUGCCUGAUACAUGCAAGUCGAGCGAACGGACGAGAAGCUUGCUUCUCUGAUGUUAGCGGCGGACGGGUGAGUAACACGUGGAUAACCUACCUAUAAGACUGGGAUAACUUCGGGAAACCGUAGCUAAUACCGGAUAAUAUUUUGAACCGCAUGGUUCAAAAGUGAAAGACGGUCUUGCUGUCACUUAUAGAUGGAUCCGCGCUGCAUUAGCUAGUUGGUAAGGUAACGGCUUACCAAGGCAACGAUGCAUAGCCGACCUGAGAGGGUGAUCGGCCACACUGGAACUGAGACACGGUCCAGACUCCUACGGGAGGCAGCAGUAGGGAAUCUUCCGCAAUGGGCGAAAGCCUGACGGAGCAACGCCGCGUGAGUGAUGAAGGUCUUCGGAUCGUAAAACUCUGUUAUUAGGGAAGAACAUAUGUGUAAGUAACUGUGCACAUCUUGACAGUACCUAAUCAGAAAGCCACGGCUAACUACGUG